rnacentral:rRNA from 1 species
GAUGAACGCUGGCGGCGUGCCUAAUACAUGCAAGUCGAGCGAACAGACGAGGAGCUUGCUCCUCUGACGUUACCGGCGGACGGGUGAGUAACACGUGGAUAACCUACCUAUAAGACUGGGAUAACUUCGGGAAACCGGAGCUAAUACCGGAUAAUAUAUUGAACCGCAUGGUUCAAUAGUGAAAGACGGUUUUGCUGUCACUUAUAGAUGGAUCCGCGCCGCAUUAGCUAGUUGGUAAGGUAACGGCUUACCAAGGCGACGAUGCGUAGCCGACCUGAGAGGGUGAUCGGCCACACUGGAACUGAGACACGGUCCAGACUCCUACGGGAGGCAGCAGUAGGGAAUCUUCCGCAAUGGGCGAAAGCCUGACGGAGCAACGCCGCGUGAGUGAUGAAGGUCUUCGGAUCGUAAAACUCUGUUAUUAGGGAAGAACAAAUGUGUAAGUAACUAUGCACGUCUUGACGGUACCUAAUCAGAAAGCCACGGCUAACUACGUG